GUGAAUAAGCAGAACAAACAUUAGAAGCAAUGAUGACAUCUGCAAACAGCGUCACCAAACUUUUACCUACCAUUCUUUCUUAUUAAUUAAACCAAUUUAAGGUCAGUUAUGCACAGGAACAUCAAUAUAACAUGGUAAAACUGAUACACCUAAAAUAUCAGAAUGAAGAACCUUUAAGAAACAUAUGUUGAUUUGGAACACAACAGAUUAAUGAUAAA